GUCCUUUUCUGGUACAUCAGCAUGAUGCCUGGAUUCUCAUGCAUUUGUAUGAUAUGUGCCUCCCUCAAAUCUUGUUAUGGCUUGGGCAUAUUACUCAUCUCAUG
rfam:Dipodomys ordii contig_8196, whole genome shotgun sequence.